CAACCCCUGCAAAGGACAAAAGCGGUGGAAAAGCAGAGAAUUAGGCAUAAAACUACCCACCUUGGGCGUGCGUGUGGUGAUGAUGAAGGGGAGGCAGGCGAGGAGAAAAGGGCAGGAGGGAUGGGGAAGAAGAAGAAGAAGGUCAGGUUUCACCCACAACUCUUUCGCCGCCCGCCCGAAGGGGAUUCACACAGGAUCAGAGCCCCUCCGCCGUGCCCGUGCCGCUCCGACCCCGCCGCCGCUCCUCGCCCGUCGUUCCCCCCGCUCUCCGCCCGCCGCCAUUUUGUCGCCUCAGUGCCGCUCCUGCGGCCCCGCCGGGCGGCCAUUUUGUGAAGCGAGCGCGGGGGGGCAGCGCCUGAGGGGCAGCCCCGGCCGGCGCCGCCUUUUGUCAGCCCAAACCCUCCUUUUCCUCCUCGUUUUUUCUUUUUUCUUCAGGGAUUUCUCUUUUUCCUCACGAAACACUUUGUCCUUAACUCCCCGUCUAAAGCCCGAUCGCUUCAGAAAAAAAAAAAAUAAAUAAAAAUCCAUAC